rnacentral:lncRNA from 1 species
CCGAUAGAAAAAAAAAAUAAAAGUGAGACCGAGGAAAUAAUGUUGAGAGUCACCGUGGACUCUCAAACAGGCAGGACGUGCAGGGCUGGCCCAGCGGGAACGCUGGACAUAAUGGAUUUGUUUGGUUAUUUUGUUUCGUGAUCUUAGUGAGAUAAGGCUAAAAUAUUUUGUUUAUUAAUUUUGAUGUCGGGCCAAAGAUUUAG